AGAAGAAAUAGGCAUAACAUUAAUAUCGGUGUUUUCUAACAAUUUCAGCGAAUACGAACCUAUUAAAGAAAUGUUAGAACCACUAUCUAAUAGAGCUAAACAAGAUUCUCCUAAAAUUUCAAUUUCAAGAUAAGGUCGGUUAUCAUUAUGUUUCCUAACUAAUAACGAAUUUAUAUCAAAAUCCAAAAUAUCUGAUUUAUUUUCAAAAUUAUCUGGUAUUAACAUAGACAUAUUAUUAUUAUUUACAAACGUACAACCUGGUAUAGAAUUUGGAACUGUUUCCUCGUCUGGAUUAUGCUUAUUACUAAAAUUCCAGCUUAAGACUGGAGUUGAUAAAUUAAUUAUUACCAAUGAGCAAGCUCUAAAGUACAGUUGGCUGGGACAAAAAGGAAAACAAAAGUUUUGUGAUACCAGAAUUGCAAAUCUAAUAAUUGAGGCAUUAAUAGCAACAAAUUUAGCAAAAACGACAAAAGAAGCACAAUCAGCUAUUCAGUUAUGGUUAAGAAGAGCAUUUGAUAGAAACAACUAUAAAAUCAAUAAAAAAAAUUAAUGUAAAAAUUAGUUUUUAAUAUUUUAAGUAUGUAUGUGUAAAAGUUAAAUAGCAAUAAACCUAUUUUUA
rnacentral:lncRNA from 1 species